rnacentral:rRNA from 1 species
GACGAAGGUGGCGAGCGUUUGUUCGGAAUCACUGGGCAUAAAGCGCACGUAGGCGGCGACGUAAGUUGGGUGUGAAAUCCCUCGGCCCAACCGAGGAACUGCGCCCAGUACUGCGUUGCUUGAGGAUCCAAGGGGUGCAUGGAAUUCCCGGUGGAGCGGUGAAAUGCGUUGAGAUCGGAAGGAACGCCCGUGGCGAAAGCGAGGUCCGUGGACGCCAUCUGACGCUGAGACGCGAAAGCCAGGGGAGCG